CUGGAAGAGCUCUUCCAGAAGGUAGGAGCCAGCCCGCUUCCAUCUCGCCAGAACUUCACUUGCUUUUGAGGCGGGAAGAAACACUGCAGCAAGACAGGAGUCCAGGGGCGGGGCCGGCGCGGGACGUCUGCGGAAACCAGACAGGCCAGGCCCUGAUUCAGCAAACCACAUCACACACAAGGCACUGAGCUACGAUCAGGGCGGCAGACAGGUGAGGAGUCAGGGCGCUGCACACCAGGAGGACCAGGUAGGAGUGGGAGGGCUGCAGGGCGCGGAGGGCGUCCCCGUGGAAGGGGAGCUGAGUAGGAGUCCGCUUAGCACAGAAUGGGUGGGAGGCGGGGCUGGAGGGGCUGUCCCCUGGGCAGCCCUCUGCCAGGACAAACCCCACUCUCUAGCCAGGCACUCUGCUGCCCGGGACAGACUGCCCCAGUCUGGGCUGAGUGCCAGCCAUCAAGGCGCAAACAGAUGGCCAGGCCACAGCUCCUGGGAGUCUUCUUGGAAAAGACCACUGGGGUGGCCCUUGGCUGUUUCUUUGCCCUUCCCUCCACCUUGCUGCCUGGGGCACAGGAGUGACAGCUGGAACUCUGACCCCCAGUCGGGAAUAUAAGGAUGAGGGCCACAUGGGGAGGACUGCACGGUGAGCCUCGUUACAAGGGCUUCGGUCACGGUCACUGGAUUUGGGGCCCACCCUGUCUCUUAACUAAAGACCCUAUUUCCAAAGGCCGCAUCCUGGGGCUCUGGGUGGACAUCAAGUCUGGGGCACUACAGGUGGUGUCCCCAGACUUCUCCACUGUGAGGACGAUACUUUGCGACUGUGAGUGUCUGUUCUCCAAUGGUCUAACUGAAUGUGGUUUGUCCUGAAGCAGCGAUUAAAUUUUAAUUGCAAAACA